UGUUCCUGGGAGGCAAGUUAGCAAGACUACUCUUACCAAGACCACAAGUACGAUCUUUGCAUUCUUGGUACUGAGAAACACCCCAAACGCCUUUGGGACAAUCGCAAAGGAGGGGCAAAUGCAAAGCUGCGAUAUAAAGAUUAACUAUGGCAAUGUUACUAUCACGUAUUCAGGGCAAAGAGCCAGUGGAGAUGCAUUUUAUUUGUGAAGUGGACAACAUCCCGAUGAAAACAAGGCAUUGUUAGUUGGUUAGUUGAGAAGAAUCACGUGCGAGUACCAUGGGAACAGCCAGCCCCAUUGCCAUGGCUCAUUCCCCAACACUCGUCUUUUGGCUGGCAGCCACAUAGCCUGGCCUACCGAGCACAGUAAUGAGGCUUCAUCUUACAACAUAAAUAAACCGCAAUCUUCCUGUAUCAAAACUGCGGAGGGAAAAAAAAAAGAAGCAAUCGGAAAAGGAAGUUUGAGGUUAAUGACUGGCCCCAGAAAUGUCAGUUGCAAAUUUGAUGCUGAUCUUAAAAACCAGUUCAUGUUUCCAAUAAAUGAAGUUAUAUAUAUAUAUAUAUAUAUAUAUUAUAUAUAUAUAUAAUUCAUAACUAAUUGUUUUGAAGUUCAUGUUAAGGAAAGGAAAAUAUGGGGAGAUAUUAAUAAAUCUUAUACGAUAUAUAUUUAUCUCACCGAAAAGAAGUUGUAAUUUUGUGUCCCACAAUUCAUUUCUGUUUUGAAACUUGAACAUAUACCAUGUA